rnacentral:rRNA from 1 species
CAGCCGCCACGGUAAUACGGAGGGUGCAAGCGUUAAUCGGAAUUACUGGGCGUAAAGCGCACGCAGGCGGUCUGACAAGUCAGAUGUGAAAUCCCCGGGCUCAACCUGGGAACUGCAUCCGAAACUGGCAGGCUAGAGUCUUGUAGAGGGGGGUAGAAUUCCAGGUGUAUCGGUGAAAUGCGUAGAGAUCUGGAGGAAUACCGGUGGCGAAGGCGGCCCCCUGGACAAAGACUGACGCUAAGGUGCGAAAGCGUGGGGAGCAAACAGGAUUAGAUACCCGGGUAGUCCCUGUCUCUUAUAA